UAGGGAAUCUUCCACAAUGGACGCAAGUCUGAUGGAGCAACGCCGCGUGAGUGAAGAAGGCUUUCGGGUCGUAAAACUCUGUUAUUGAAGAAGAACGUGUGUGACAGUAACUGGUCAUGCAGUGACGGUAUUCAAUCAGAAAGUCACGGCUAACUACGUGCCAGCAGCCGCGGUAAUACGUAGGUGGCAAGCGUUGUCCGGAUUUAUUGGGCGUAAAGCGAGUGCAGGCGGUCUUUUAAGUCUGAUGUGAAAGCCUUCGGCUUAACCGAAGAAGGGCAUCGGAAACUGGGAGACUUGAGUGCAGAAGAGGAGAGUGGAACUCCAUGUGUAGCGGUGAAAUGCGUAGAUAUAUGGAAGAACACCAGUGGCGAAGGCGGCUCUCUGGUCUGUAACUGACGCUGAGGCUCGAAAGCGUGGGUAGCAAACAGGAUUAGAUACCCUGGUAGUCCACGCCGUAACGAUGAAUACUAAGUGUUGGAGGGUUUCCGCCCUUCGGUGCUGCAGCUAACGCAUUAAGUAUUCCGCCUGGGGAGUACGACCGCAAGG
rnacentral:rRNA from 1 species